ACUUUAAGUAAGGAAGAAAAGUAUAUUGUUAAUACCAAUAUACCGUGACAUUACUUACAGAAUAAGGACCGGCUAAUUCCGUGCCAGCAGCCGCGGUAAUACGGAAGGUCCAAGCGUUAAUCGGAAUUACUGGGCGUAAAGCGCGCGUAGGUGGUUUAUUAAGUUGGGUGUGAAAGCCCCGGGCUCAACCUGGGAACUGCAUCCAAAACUGAUUCACUAGAGUACGAAAGAGGGAGGUAGAAUUCACAGUGUAGCGGUGGAAUGCGUAGAUAUUGUGAAGAAUACCAAUGGCGAAGGCAGCCUCCUGGUUCUGUACUGACACUGAGGUGCGAAAGCGUGGGGGAGCGAACAGGAUUAGAUACCCUGGUAGUCCACGCCGUAAACGAUGACAACCAGCUGUUGGGAAGCAAUGCUUUUCAGUGGCGCAGCUAACGUCUUAAGUUGUCCGCCUGGGGAGUACGGCCGCAAGGUUAAAACUCAAAGGAAUUGACGGGGA
rnacentral:rRNA from 1 species